GAGACUUUUGUUGUCCUCCUGGUAGUUUAAAUAAAAAUGAUGAACCAUUUCAAUUUAAAGUAAAUUUUGACAAAUCAUGACUUUUUUCUACUUUUAACUAUCGAGUUUGGCAAAGAUAAGUAUGCUUUUUUUUUUUUUUUUUGGUAAAGUCAUUAGAGAAGAAGACUCGCUAUAGUAAUUUUAACGUACAUAAACUUGACCACAGUUUAGGUUAGUCCUUCAAUUUUACUAUUUUAGUAUUUA
rnacentral:lncRNA from 1 species